UACGUAGGGGGCAAGCGUUGUCCGGAUUCAUUGGGCGUAAAGGGUGCGUAGGUGGCGCUGUAAGUCGGGUGUGAAAUUUCGGAGCUUAACUCCGAAACUGCAUUCGAUACUGCGGUGCUUGAGGACUGGAGAGGAGACUGGAAUUUAUGCUGUAGCAGUGAAAUGCGUAGAGAUCAUAAGGAAGACCAGUGGCGAAGGCGGGUCUCUGGACAGUUCCUGACACUGAGGCACGAAGGCCAGGGGAGCAAACGGG
rnacentral:rRNA from 1 species